rnacentral:rRNA from 1 species
UCCUCCAAGGCUAAAUACUCCUGACUGACCGAUAGUGAACCAGUACCGUGAGGGAAAGGCGAAAAGAACCCCGGCGAGGGGAGUGAAAAAGAACCUGAAACCGUGUACGUACAAGCAGUGGGAGCACAGGUUUACCUGUGUGACUGCGUACCUUUUGUAUAAUGGGUCAGCGACUUAUAUUCUGUAGCAAGGUUAACCGAAUAGGGGAGCCGGAGGGAAACCGAGUCUUAAUUGGGCGUUAAGUUGCAGGGUAUAGACCCGAAACCCGGUGAUCUAGCCAUGGGCAGGUUGAAGGUUGGGUAACACUAACUGGAGGACCGAACCGACUAAUGUUGAAAAAUUAGCGGAUGACCUGUGGCUGGGGGUGAAAGGCCAAUCAAACCGGGAGAUAGCUGGUUCUCCCCGAAAGCUAUUUAGGUAGCGCCUCGUGAACUCAUCUCCGGGGGUAGAGCACUGUUUCGGCUAGGGGGCCAUCCCGGCUUACCAACCCGAUGCAAACUGCGAAUACCGGAGAAUGUUAUCACGGGAGACACACGGCGGGUGCUAACGUCCGUCGUGAA